rnacentral:lncRNA from 1 species
AGCAGAGGACGGAACGGAACGGAACAAAUCGGAACGAAACGAAACGAAAGGGAGCAGAGUUGUACGAAGAGGGGGCGAGAGGGUGAGAGAAAAAGAGUUGGUAAGUUCCCAGAAGUAAAAAUCCACUGACGUGAUAUCUGGUGAUCUUCUUGGGGUUCUCUGCGAGCAAUUGAUUCUGCUCCACUUAUCCAUCGUUCAAGGUAACAAUGAUCAUCUAACCAUUGCCGAACUGAUUGACCAAAUCAACGAUCUCAGCAAGUAAAACAUUCGAGUUUGUGCGAACAUACCAAAUAGAUAUCGGCAAUGUGUUCUUACGCAGUGUCGACGAAACACCAGUCCGUUAUCACUUCGUAUUUUUGUUAUAACAUUUUAAUAAUGCAUUUUACAACUUACGUUUGUAUAACGUCUUUUCCUUAGUUUUGCUUAUACAAUAAAAUAUGCUUGUAAAGUUUUGCGGAGAAACAUUGAGACACCCUGUGUAUCAUUUUACAUUUUCCUCUAUAGUAUGGUGAAUAUAUAUCAAAAUGACAAAGUGACUGGGGAAGGAUACAUUUUUGAAUGGAAAAUAGGAGAAUAAUUACUUUUAGAUGUUAACUUGUAGCAAAAUAUGUAGCAACAUGUUACGUUCAAUUAAUAUUUGCAACACGUUCACGGAUGUAUUAAUUACGAUCUCUUAUUAAAUAAAUUACGUGGAAAGCGUAACAAAGCGA